GGAAACGAAAGUACAUGAAACAAUCGUUAAGUCCAGAGCCCUUGCAUUUAUGAAGUCUGUCAACAAAAUGAAUUUGUUAAGGUUUGGAUACAAUAAUAUCACGUGCUCCAUCAGAUACUGGCUUAACUGCGACAAUCUGCUUUCAAAGACGUUCGAGUGUCUCCCGUAAUGGCGGAAACGGUGGUGCUCUUGACAUGCUCUGCCGUCGGCAAACUUUAAAUCUGGUCACAAUUCUUGUGCUGAGACACUGAAAAGCUAUAUCUAUAAAUGGUAUCUUUGAAGCCCAUGAAGGGAACUUUGUACAGAAGAGACAAGCAAAUUCAUUAGGUCAAGACGAUUCGACUGUUUAUUCCAAAGAAAAAAAAGGAACUGUUUAUGUGAAUGGUAUUGGCUUUACGUUUAAUGGCCACUGGAUAAAAGAACAACGAAGGGUCUUUCGGACAUAGAAAUCAGUUGCCGCAUAGCCGACGUGAAAUUCUAAUCGGUGGCAACUUAGUUGGCAAGGUGUAUGCAGCCAUGGCAGACUCGUUAGCGGGAGUUUGGCGCUUAGAGAGCAGUGACGAUUUUGAAGCGCUAAUGGCUUCGUUUGGUGUCGGCUUAAUCAUGAGAAAACUGGCAAUUAAAACUGUACCUACAUUAACCAUACUAAUAAAGAACGACAGUGAAUGGGAGAUUUGUACCGAGGUUUGGUCUAACACAUGGACGACGAAAUUCGAAAUUGGCAAGGAAUUCGACGAGAAAUUACCAAACGGUAAAAAGGUGAGGUUCGUAUGCAGCGUCGUUGAUCAAUGUCUUGUACAGCGCCAGAUAGAUUCGAAAUAUCCGACGAACAUCACCAGGUGGGUAGAGAAAUCAACGCUCAUAACGCGCAUUCAACACAAGAACGUGAUUUGCGUUCGCCGCUAUACCAAAAUAAGCCUGCCGUUACCAACAACUGAAUGACAACGUACCAAUAUUUGAGCUCCUUAUAGAUUGAAGUAGAUAAAGAUAGCAACCUCAAAAUAGCCCCAAUCUUCUCUUUCCGAUUCGGGGAUAUAUCGGCUUAUAAUAAUUGAUUACACAAAGGCACAUGAUCUUCAAAUGGGAGAAACCUGAAGUGACGUUGUAAGGACAUCGGUAACUGCGCAUAGUGACGGACGAGCCUCUGCUCAUAGGCAACGAUGUCAUGUCCAGCUUUUGCCUAGAUAGAGAGGCAAAUAGCACCUAAAUAAACCCCGAAAAUACGCGCUAAUGGAUAGUAAGCAUUUGAUGCUUCAUGCAAACUAAGGGUUGAUGUCGAGGGUAUUCGGUGAAAAUAAACGUUCGGAAAGGAAAAUCUGUGUCGCGGAUCCAGUUCAGUUAGGUUUAUCUUCACCUGCCCCUAUGCAAGCCUUCAUAGGCUUCGGUUAGGAUCCUUGCGUGUACAUUACAAUUCGAAGAUUAGAGGUGAUAAGACUCGGGUAACUACUCCUUACCUGCAUCGAUACGGGUCAAACCCAUGUCGAACCUCGAUUUUACGAGCAAGUUUGCAAAGGCAGUAUCUUCGGAAUCGUGAUCUGAUCGUUGAGCAUUUGUAGAGCUUCACUAAAACAUCUUUUAUCUUUCCAGAUAUAAUACCGAUGAGUUAAA